rnacentral:rRNA from 1 species
GUCGAACGCUGGCGGCGUGCUUAACACAUGCAAGUCGAACGAUGAACCCGGAGCUUGCUCCGGUGGAUUAGUGGCGAACGGGUGAGUAACACGUGAGUAACCUGCCCUUGACUCUGGGAUAACUGCGGGAAACUGUAGCUAAUACCGGAUACGACCCUCGGCGGCAUCGCCAGGGGGUGGAAAGAAUUUCGGUCAAGGAUGGACUCGCGGCCUAUCAGCUAGUUGGUGAGGUAACGGCUCACCAAGGCGACGACGGGUAGCCGGCGUGGGAGGGUGGCCGGCCACACUGGAACUGGGACACGGCCGAGACUCCUGCGGGGGGCAGCAGUGGCGAAUAUUGAACAAUGGGCGAAAGCCUGAUGCAGCAACGCCGCGUGAGGGAUGACGGCCUACGGGUUGUAAACCUCUUUUAGUAGGGAAGAAGCGAAAGUGACGGUACCUGCAGAAAAAGCACCGGCUAACUACGUGCCAGCAGCCGCCGUAA